rnacentral:rRNA from 1 species
UGGGGAAUUUUGGACAAUGGACGCAAGUCUGAUCCAGCCAUGCCGCGUGCGGGAAGAAGGCCUUCGGGUUGUAAACCGCUUUUGUCAGGGAAGAAACGAGUUUCUCUAAUACAGAGACUUAAUGACGGUACCUGAAGAAUAAGCACCGGCUAACUACGAGCCAGCAGCCGCGGUAAUACGUAGGGUGCAAGCGUUAAUCGGAAUUACUGGGCGUAAAGCGUGCGCAGGCGGUUAUGCAAGACAGAUGUGAAAUCCCCGGGCUCAACCUGGGAACUGCAUUUGUGACUGUAUAGCUAGAGUACGGCAGAGGGGGAUGGAAUUCCGCGUGUAGCAGUGAAAUGCGUAGAUAUGCGGAGGAACACCGAUGGCGAAGGCAAUCCCCUGGGCCUGUACUGACGCUCAUGCACGAAAGCGUGGGGAGCAAACA